AGUGUGUCUUUAACUUGUUAAGCUUGGGAGCUGCUAUCGGAGAGUCUUGCAUUCUGGGCCCAGCCACAUCCCUGCUCUUGGUAAAGAUGCAGAAACUGAGGCCCGGGACCACACACCUGACACCAAGUGGACUAGGAUUCAGGCCGUUGACCAUAUUCUUUCAACUUCAGGAGCAACAGCACCUGGAGGACCCAAAUUUGCUGUCAUCCUCCACGAGGCCUCAGCAGUCUCCAACAUGGAAGGGCACUGAGCCAGCCUGGGGGUUUCCAGGGACCUUCCUGACUGAACACUGGAAAGACCCUUUCAUUCCAUCCUGUCCCCCAGGUGGGACCCCACGCCCUGAGGUGGAACAGAGGUGAAGAGGAAGGGGAGCGGCUCCUGUGCAUUUUAAUAGAAAUGAAUUCAAGUUCUCUCCUGAAGGACUCAGUUCCUUGGGCCCAAACUUCUCCAGUCUCUCAUGAAAGGAGAUGAACUGCUUCAGAUAAAGUGCUAAUCUUCAGCCUCAAAGUCCUCAGAAGGGCCUUCUCCACGCUGCUGGGCUGUGAAAGGCUGAAGGAGGUGGAGCUGGGGAGGAAGAUGAAGAUCUAGAGGUCUGAGAGAGCUUCAACUGAGUAGAGAGCAGCCUGGGUUCCAAAGUCCUGGCCCCAGCUCUGUGUAGCCAUGUGACUUUAGUUCAGGCCCUUGACUUCUCUAAGCUUCUGUGUGCACAGCUAUCAAAUGGGAGUAAUAGCAGUAUUGACCUCGUGGGUGGUUAUGAGGCUUUACUGAGAUGGUACAAUGUCAAGGGCUUAGCACAUUGCCUGGCACGUAACACUCAGUAAAUGCCACCCUGACUGCGUUUAAUUUGGGAAGCUAGACCCUUACCUACCCAAGGGCUGUGAUGGUAGCAAGCCCACCUGCAGCCAUCCUCAGAGGGUAGGUGGAGAGUGAAGCCAAGCCCCAGAGCCACGGACUCCAGAAUGAAGGUAUGGACUCCGUGCCUGGACCUGUUACUUGAUUAGGGUUUCUGACCCCAGCUUCUUCCCCAUUUGCCCUGUCACACCAUCCCAUAAUGUCCUGUUGCCCCCCUCUUGACCCUUCCUCCCACCCCAAUUCCAUUUAUCACAGUCCACUUGUGGUGUCAGGGCAGAGACGCCCAAGGCACUGAACUCAUCUUGCCACUGUUGGUCGCCCUCUGUGCGUUACAACAAUGUGGGACUUGGGGAUUCUAAACCACCACCCUCACCAAUUCUCUCAAUCCCCAUGACCAUCUCCAUGCCUCCAAGACUCUCUGUGCCAGCCCGGAGGGGAAGCUGUCCGCAAGGUCUCUGGCUCCUUAGUGCAGAGCAGGGUCUACACUAGGUGCAGAGCUCUCUGGUCAGCGCAGCAGUGGGCCUGCCACCCAGACACACAGAGGUGGCUCAGCAACAGUCAGAGGCCCUCAGACAACAUCGGGAACAGAAGUGGCUGUAUGAGCUUCUAAAAAGCCCCAUCUGGAAGCUGGAGAAGCUGGGCCCAUUUCCUAACUCAGAGGAGGCCACAGUCCCUGGGGCAGGAACUGGCCCCUCCUAUUCUUCCCUUGCCCUCCAGAGUGGGGUUGCCUGGGACCAGGUCCUCAGAAACUGUGAUGGGAGGAGGGCACCUUUACAACAGCAGGUGGAGCACCUGUAAGUCCUAAGUUCCCUUCCCCAAAGACCAAGAAAGAGUUUGGAGAAGACUGGAGCCAGCCUUGCCUUCUCCUCUCCUGAAGGAAUGGAUACAUGAAUGAAUGAAUGCCUCUACUUUACUCUUUUAUUUUUAGAGUUAAGGUAGAGAAAGAAUAAAAUAGCUGUGGAUGUACAAA
ensembl:lncRNA LINC02579 long intergenic non-protein coding RNA 2579